rnacentral:rRNA from 1 species
GAUGAACGCUAGCUACAGGCUUAACACAUGCAAGUCGCGGGGCAGCAUGGGGGUUGCUUGCAAUUCCCGAUGGCGACCGGCGCACGGGUGAGUAACGCGUAUCCAACCUGCCCUUCACCACGGGAUAACCCGGCGAGAGUCGGAUUAAUACCGUAUGUUGUCCAUUGACGGCAUCCGAUUUGGACGAAAGGUUUGGCGGUGUUGGAUGGGGAUGCGCCCGAUUAGAGGGACGGCGGGGUGUCAGCCCACCGUGGCGACGAUCGGUAGAGGUGCUGUGAGGAAGGUCCCCCACACUUGAACUUCGACACGGUCCAGACUCCUACGGGAGGCAGCAGUGAUGAAUAUUGGUGGAUAGGCAUAAGCCUGAACCAGCCAAGUAGCGUGCAGGGUGACGGCCAUAUGGGUAGUAAACUGCUUGUGUGCGGUGAUAAAGUAGCCCACGUGUGGGUUUUUGCAGGUACCUCAUCAAUAAGAACCGGCUAAUUCCGUG